ensembl:snRNA U6 U6 spliceosomal RNA
GUCAUGGUCAAUUUGACAAGAUGUUUACUAAAAUUGAAACAAUACAGAGAAGUUUAGCAUGGCCUUUGCACAAGAUGACAGUAAAUUCAAAUUACAAAAAAAAACUGUU